rnacentral:rRNA from 1 species
AGAGUUUGAUCCUGGCUCAGGACGAACGCUGGCGGCGUGCCUAAUACAUGCAAGUUGAACGCUUGAUUUUCACCGAAGCUUGCUUCACCGAAAAUCAAGAGUAGCGAACGGGUGAGUAACGCGUGGGUAACCUACCUUUCAGCGGGGGAUAACUAUUGGAAACGAUAGCUAAUACCGCAUAAUAAUGUUGGAUGCAUAUUCGACAUUUGAAAGUACCAACUGGUACACUGAGAGAUGGACCCGCGUUGUAUUAGCUAGUUGGUAGUGUAAUGGACUACCAAGGCGAUGAUACAUAGCCGACCUGAGAGGGUGAUCGGCCACAUUGGGACUGAGACACGGCCCAAACUCCUACGGGAGGCAGCAGUAGGGAAUCUUCGGCAAUGGACGAAAGUCUGACCGAGCAACGCCGCGUGAGUGAAGAAGGUUUUCGGAUCGUAAAACUCUGUUGUUAGAGAAGAACGUUGCAUAGAGUGGAAAAUUAUGCAAGUGACGGUAUCUAACCAGAAAGGGACGGCUAACUACGUGCCAGCAGCCGCGGUAAUACGUAGGUCCCGAGCGUUGUCCGGAUUUAUUGGGCGUAAAGCGAGCGCAGGUGGUUUAAUAAGUCUGAUGUAAAAGGCAGUGGCUCAACCAUUGUGUGCAUUGGAAACUGUUAGACUUGAGUGCAGUAGAGGAGAGUGGAAUUCCAUGUGUAGCGGUGAAAUGCGUAGAUAUAUGGAGGAACACCGGUGGCGAAAGCGGCUCUCUGGACUGUCACUGACACUGAGGCUCGAAAGCGUGGGUAGCAAACAGGAUUAGAUACCCUGGUAGUCCACGCCGUAAACGAUGAGUGCUAGUUGUUUGGGGCUAUCCAGCCCUAAGUGACGCAGCAAACGCAUUAAGCACUCCGCCUGGGGAGUACGACCGCAAGGUUGAAACUCAAAGGAAUUGACGG